UACGUAGGGUCCGAGCGUUGUCCGGAAUUACUGGGCGUAAAGAGCUCAUAGGUGGUUUGUCGCGUUGUUCGUGAAAACUCACAGCUCAACUGUGGGCGUGCGGGCGAUACGGGCAGACUUGAGUACUGCAGGGGAGACUGGAAUUCCUGGUGUAGCGGUGGAAUGCGCAGAUAUCAGGAGGAACACCGGUGGCGAAGGCGGGUCUCUGGGCAGUAACUGACGCUGGAGGAAGCGAAAGCCGUGGGGAGCGAACAGG
rnacentral:rRNA from 1 species